GCUAUGGUGGUUUCCGGACGUUAGGAGGAUAGGCCUUUUCAGAAAAGCUCACAAUCUAACAACUGUAUUGAGGAAAUGUAUGCUGCAGCCUUCGGGCCUCAAGGAUAUCCAUAGGAAAUUGGAUUCCAACACCAUGAAUCCUAGAGCACCCAUGCAGAGAUCCAGCCCCUGUGUGCUGCAUUAUCUAAUCUAUUCUAAUGCAGCUAUAAUUAUGGUUAUCAAGGCCCCCUCAGUGCCCUUUCUGCCUCUGCAUCCCUUGCCACAAUUACAUCGUACUUCCAUUUG